rnacentral:tRNA from 1 species
GUUGUCGUGGCCGAGUGGUAAAUGGCAAUGGACUCGAAAUCCUUUGGGGUUUCCCCGCGCAGGUUCAAAUCCUGCCGGUAACG